AUGAAUUUUGGAGUUCUACUGUGCCUGCCGUUCAUUCGGAUGUGUGCACGUAGCCUCUAUAAAUCCUUAUCAACACCUGUGCACCUUUAAAAAGGGGGGAGUCUGAUUAAGCAUUUUAUGAUGCUUAUGACGAAUAACCUCUUUUCUUAUACAAACUCUUUUAAUGCCUAUUAGAAUGUUCUCUGGCCGCAAGGCUAUAAAAUAUAAA
rnacentral:misc_RNA from 1 species